CUACGGGGGGCUCCAGUGAGGAAUAUUGCAUAAUGGGGGGAACCCUGAUGCAGCAACGCCGCGUGGAGGAUGACGCAUUUCGGUGUGUAAACUCCUUUUAUAUGUCAAGAAAAUGACGGUAGCAUAUGAAUAAGCACCGGCUAACUCCGUGCCAGCAGCCGCGGUAAUACGGAGGGUGCAAGCGUUACUCGGAAUCACUGGGCGUAAAGGACGCGUAGGCGGGUUGGAAAGUCAGGUGUGAAAUCCUACAGCUUAACUGUAGAACUGCACUUGAAACUUCUAAUCUAGAGUAUGGGAGGGGGAGAUGGAAUUAGUGGUGUAGGGGUAAAAUCCGUAGAUAUCACUAGGAAUACCUAAAGCGAAGGCGAUCUCCUGGAACAUUACUGACGCUAAGGCGUGAAAGCGUGGGGAGCAAACAGGAUUAGAUACCCUUGUAGUC
rnacentral:rRNA from 1 species